GGUCCGGCCGCUAGCUGAGAACUGUUUGGCUCCUCUGGGUUUGGUAUCUUGAACAGGAUAUGCAGAGACCUGCUAUUGUUUCUCCAAAAACUGUGUCCCAAGAUUUCAAGACUGAGUAAAGUAUCCAUCUUAGGUGGGAAUUUGAGCUGCUUCCCACAUCUCAAGUUCUGAGUUCCUGGGAUGUACCAUUCCCAGCUUGCCAAGGGAAGAAGAGCUGUGCCUCACCAAGUGUUGCCUGGAUACCCUCCCUAUAGCUGAUGGGGACUGACCUACCUUCUCUGCUACCUCUUACACCUCUUUAUCUAUUUACCAUCUGGGUCACAUACACUCGAUGGAAAUGAAAGUCAUUGUGCUGCGUUAAAUAAACCAGACACAGAAAUACAGACAUCGCAUACUCCCACCCAUGUGAAGAAACACACACACCAGUCUCAGAAGAGUGGAUCAGGGUAGUGGACACCAGAGGCCAGAGAGACGGAGUGUGAAGAGAAGAUAACGGGACACAAACACACAGCUGCUCCCACUGUUGUGAAAAAUCCUGCAGCACAGACAUUCCAGGAGGAAGAGAGUAUAUCCUGACAGUGUACUCUCUCAGAUCCACAGAAAACACUGAAUUCAGAAGUGUCCCUUCUUGUGUACGGGGAAAAAAACAAAACAAAACACGAAUGCUAGCAGUCUGGUUUUCUUUCUGGCUGCUGGAGUAUCUGAGCUCCCCACAAAAAGAUCUCCAGGAUCAAGAAGCCCAUCAGUCGAGAUGAAGGGAGCAGUAGCCUAAGGCUGAUUGGUCUCAUGAUGGGUGAAAAGGAGCCCCCUUGCCAGCCAACGCAAGCUUGUGAUGGGAGAAUUCUCCGCUGCUCGCUCCCACCGCUGUGAAGACGGCUCUGCAUGCCUUCUGUUCUAAAGUGGACCGAAAGCUCCUAAACUGCGGGACCGAGUAAACCCUACAGCCCUCAGGUCCCUUCUUACCCGAUCCUGGCAGUGCAAAAGCAGCUGCUCCUACAACUGCCAUGUGCUGUGCCCAGCGGCUCUCCACGCUACAAAGCGAACUAGCCUGUUAAUGCAGGAAAUGAGUGGCUUGUCUCGUAAAAUGUGCAUGGGUACCUGGCUUUCCUUACUCCUCAGUUUGCUUCUUCUGUGAGCUAUCAAUCAAUCCUCUGGUGUUCAACCAUAUUCCCGAUCCCACCUGCAGACCCGCCAGGAGCUCCCAAACCAUCCAACUAGUGGUUAGCAGUGGAAACAUUUUAGUUGACUUUUCCUCCAUAGCAGUUGGGUUUCAAGGUUUCUGCAGUCAUUAUCUGCCUCCGGCUUGUGUGGCCUUUCCAUGUGCUUUUUUGCUCUAAUCUCCAUUUCCUCUUAUAGUUUUCAUCUCCUGCUUUCCUUUUUUUUAAAGUAAUAUUUACCAAGAAGAUUCUAGCCUAGCCUUUGUUUGUUAAGGGAAGCUAUCAGCAUGCCUAAGCACAGUGUAUGGAGUUGCUUAGCCAGGCUCCAGCAAGCUCAGGUCACCAACUUCAGCAUUCCUGGAUGGUUGAUCAAGCUGCACCUCAUUAGUAGCUUGCUGGACUAGUGCGUGAGAGCCCUGCCCAGAAGAUGACAUCCUGGCACUUAAGAAAAUACCAUGCUGAAAAUAGCAGGGCUUCAAAGGCCAUAGGUCCCACCUUUAAUGUGAUUUUGCUUCUCCUAAUUUUCGAAAGGUAUUUACUAUGUCAAUACAGAGCCAUGAUGUUUCUCAAGGUUUACAAAAUAUUUUGUUAGGAGGAUGUGGAUAAAGUUCAAUUUGGAGGUUUGGGAAGACUUGGGGGUGCUGUGGAUUUUUGGGAAAAUGAUGUCAAAAUGUUCCGAAGAGAUAUAAAGGCAAGAACAAUAAAGUAAUUCGUAUUAAACUAA